rnacentral:sRNA from 2 species
CGAGUCCUGCCGCCGUCCGGAUCUGGUCGACACGAAGUGGAUCGGCAGGAGUGGAGGACCCAGCAGUACCGGGACGUGCGCACCAUGGCCGUCCCUUGGGGUGAAGCCGCGUCAGCGGCCGGGCAACUUCGCCUGCCCGAACCCGACAGGUCAUCCUUCGCAGGCGGAUGACGAAGGGUUG